AAGGAGUCCAACACAUACGCGAGUGUUUGGGUGGCAAACCCGAGCGCGAAAUGAAAGUGAAUGUAGGUGGGAUCCUUCGGGUGCACCAUCGACCGGUCUGGAUUCUUUUGAAAGAUCUGAGUAAGAGCGUAUUUGUUGGGACCCGAAAGAUGGUGAACUAUGCCUGAAUAGGGUGAAGUCAGAGGAAACCCUGAUGGAGGACCGUAGCGAUUCUGACGUGCAAAUCGAUCGUCGGAGCUGGGUAUAGGGGCGAAAGACUAAUCGAACCAUCUAGUAGCUGGUUCCUGU
rnacentral:misc_RNA from 1 species